rnacentral:misc_RNA from 1 species
UCGAUGCUCUCUGUCCAGGGAUCCGCAUCCAUUCGCAAGUUCCCUGAGGGGCAUCCUGCUCCGGAUCCUUGUCGAUGCACCAAGCGUGCCCAGAACAAAGCAGCGUUGCGUGCCCAUUGCUUCUCAGAGCAUUCCUUCCUUUCGGUUCGUGCUUGGUAUGGAAGAACAUUGAAGAGAGUUGGUGAGCUGCGGCCGACCACUGUGCAGAUAGCGUACUGCUGCGUGUGAUUGUGGGAGGCCGGCCGAUGAGAAGCAUGGAAAAGCUGUUCGUGACCAUCCUGCUUGGCAUAUACACUUUCCGCAAUGCCGGAGCUGUGAAAAUAGGUGUUAUACUUAAACCAGAUUUGAACAUAGUACAAUCAGCGUAUGAAGGCGUCAUGUAUAACUACAGCAACAGCAAUGUUGCUCAGGAGAUCAAAUUCAAGGUGAAGACCAACUUUGCUACCCUAGAAGACACUGACCUUUUCUCCACCAGCAGAACACUGUGCGAGCAGCUGCGCACCAACGUAACGACAGUGGUGGUGUCAAGCACGUCGCACUCGUCACUGGCGCUACAGUCGUUGUUCAAGAACACGAACGUGCCGUACGUGGCCACCUCGUACCAGGAGCACUGCAGCGUCAACGUGGGCGGCAACCUGAACCUGCCGUCGGCCGACUCCCUCGGCGUCUCGCUGCUGCCCGACUACUUGCCGGCUGUCGCAGAGAUGCUCGAUCACAUGCGCUGGCCGGCCUUCAUCUACGUGUACGACUCGGAGAACGGGCCCUCGAAGCUGCAGCGGCUGCUGAGCCACACGUACCGUGAGGCGGUGACGGUGCGCUUCGUCAAGCGCAUCACGAACAGCAGCGACGCCAACGACUUCCUUCGCAUGCUGGAGACCACAGACCGUGAGAGCCGCAAACACGUGCUGCUCGACUGCCGCUUCGACGUGGCACGCAGAAUCAUCGUGGACCACGUGCGCGACAUUUACAUGGGACGCCGAAACUACCACUUCUUCCUCAUCAAUCCGGUUGUUAACGAGCUGACGUACGACAAGAUUCCCGAGUUCGCUGCAGUGAACAUCACUGCGUUGCGUCUGGUCAGCGAGGACGUUUCGCAGCAGUCGUCCAUGGAUCCCUCGCAAGAGCCCCGCGAAAAAAGAAUCACGCUAGAAGAGGCACUCAUUCAAGACGCGGCAUCUCUGAUAGUGGAGACUUACAAGGAUCUGAAGCUUCGAAGCGUGGUGCCGCACCGGUAUUCGUACAUCUUUGAGGACCACGAUGACGACGAGUCCCUCAGGAGAGGUCCGUCUGCGGCGUUGCAACCUCCGCGGCUCGAAGCCGAGCUGCUUGAGGAAGCCGCUGCCGAGUCGAUGCCGCAGUCGGACGCGCCGCACCAAGGCUGCGGAGAGCGGCCGUCGGUGCCGCAAGAGCUCGGCGAGAUCAUCACUAAACACCUUCGAGGGAGAAGUUUCCAAGGCCUGACUGGUCCUAUUCGUUUCACAAAUGACGGAUGCAGGAUUGACUACAAAGUGCACAUCGUUCAGCUGAACACAACAAAUGAGGCGUUCAAGGUGGCAGAGUGGUCGGACACAAAGGCCUUCGAAGCAGUUUUGAAACCCCUCAAACCUUUGGUGAAUGUUACGGAGGAACUGAAUAGAGACCGCCUCUACGUGGUGCACAGUGUUCUGGACAAGCCGUACCUUAUGGUGAAGGACUCCCCUAGCGAGCCCGAACUCACUGGCAAUGAUCGCUACGAAGGUUUCUGCAAAGAUCUGAUGGACGCCAUCGCCAAGGAGCUCGAGAUUAAGUACGAAUUGAAGGCAGCUGAGGAGACUGUCUACGGUCGUCGAGACCACAAGGUUCAAGGCGGUUGGACGGGGCUUAUCGGACAAGUAGUGAGGAAGGAAGUGGACAUGGGAGUGGCCGCCACCUUGGUGACGGCCGAGCGUCGCGAGGCGGUGGAUUUCAGCCUGCCCUUCCUGGAGACGGCCACCGCGGCGCUGGUGGUGCGCACCGAGCCCGUGCUUGGCCGCGGCAUGCUCACCUUCCUGGCGCCCUUCUCGUUCGAGUUGUGGAUCUUCUUCGUGUCCGGUCUCGCCAUCGUCAUGGUCGUCAUGUUUCUCGUCAGCUUCUUCACGGCGCGCGCAUCUGCCGCGGCCGACAAGCCAGGAGUCGAACGACACACGUCGGGCGCGCUCUUCAAAAGCCUUUGCUACACGCUCGAGGCCUUCACGCCGCAUUACAUUGACUCGUAUUACGCAAGGUCCAUCGGCGGACGGCUGAUCGGCAACGUGUGGUGGCUGUUUGUGGUGUUCGUGUUUUCCGCCUACACGGCCAGCCUCGUGCCAUUCCUCUCGACCGAGACGAUGCCCCGACUGCUGGCCAACGUUGACGACCUCGCCGAUCAGACAGUGGUCGAGUACGGAUUCACCAGGCAGUCGUCCGCCAGGAAGUACUUCGAGAACCCGAACCUGAACUCUAGCGUGCACAAGCGCAUGUGGGAAAUGAUGAACAGUAAGCCGGACGUGUUCACCGCCUCAGACAGUCAAGGCGUGGAGCGGGUACGUUCUUCGAGAGGCCGAUACGCCUUCUUCAUGGACGCCAACAAAGCGGAGUACAUUAGCAACCAACGACCCUGCGACACGGCCACGCUGGGAAGCCUCUGGAUGAAGCAAUUGCCAAGCUGACAGAAAGUGGGGAGCUGUUAAAACUAAAGAAAAAGUGGUGGUCUGGAAAAUCCGUUUGUCAAGAAUUUUUGAGAAAGGAUGGUCUUGUCAUGACGUUAGAAAAUUUCCUGGGUGUAUUCUUCAUUCUUGGCGGCGGUGUGGCACUUGGCCUCCUUGUGGGAUUCAUCGAGAUAGUGUACCGCGCAUGUGCGCGGAGUUCUUCAUGCGGCAAGGGCGAAGAUGCAGCACCUUCAGAAGAAGCUCAGAUACCCGAAAAGGAGUACAUCGACCAACCACUCGCUCGCGCGUAAUUUGCAGGUUGGUGGUUGCGCAGCGGAGACUGGAAUCUGCGAUGCCACCGAAGCCCGCACUUAUCGUGUAUGAAACAUAGCGGAAUUCUACUCAGUGUUGUACGAGCGAGCAUUUCAUCCACAACUUUCUUCACACUUGCAUUCCCUGUUCACACCUACUAUGCGUGUUCUUUUAUUUUACUUUCAGAGGGAACCACACAUGAAAAUGACAACCCUCAAGUUAACCUUGAAGCACUUUUAACACGAACAUUAUUUUACAAAUGAGAUUGCAAAAUUUCAAAAGCUCGUUUGUGCUUUAGAAAGCCUUUUGCAUUGGCAGGAGAAAAAUUCGACAGAGGUGUAGAUCAACGUGGGUGUACGUGGCGCACUGUGAGGUGUGUUUCAUUCAAUCUUUAUUCGUUAAGAUAAUGCACUUAUCUGUUCUCCUGUAACCGGUAUUAUAACGCUUAAACAAGGCACAUUGUUUUUUUUUUCUAGUGUGACCUUAAGCAAUUCCUUCCUCUCGUCUCGCUCUGACAUUCCAGUCAAUUCUUUUCCAGAUAACUUAUUAAUCUCGUGACUGAAGCUGCCAACGGUAUGAAGAUAUAUAAACUUCAUCUUUUUAUACAGAGUUUCUCAAAUGGGAGACCAGUACUUGAUGGUCAAAUGCUCACAAAGUGUUGAACAAGUUUUCAUCCACAGAGUUCGUAGCUGUUUGUGUGUUGUGUGAUUGAAAAGUGAAAUGGUAUAUAUCGGUAUCAUGUAGCAUAUACAUCUUUGGCAUGUUUCACUAAAGACGAAAACAACGCUCCGCUACUUACGCGCCGUUUCCAUUAAUUCUGCUGUUCCAUCGUUAGUAACUAUUGAUUCACUUGCUUUUUUGUCAUUCAUGUAUCGUACAAAACACGAACCUCAUUUUCACUCAUACUAGAAAAGAAUUAGGGCACAUACGACAUUACUGCAAAACUUUGUUUACGACCAGGGUUAACAUUUACUUCAUUUUUAUUUUUGAGAAAACCCACAAGCGUUCAGUUUUAAUUAUAAAAGUCUUGCACUCAUUCGGAUAUGACAUCCACGAACGUCGACGUGUGUGCGCAAAACCUUUGAAUGUCUGAGUCAUUUACUAAAACACAGAAUCUUUUGUAACAAUGUUCUAUCAACACUGCCAAUAUUACCAUCUGCGAGUUGAAGUUCGCAUGAUGUUUUUUUUUUUACUUAUGAGUAUUAUGUGGCAUCUUCGUCAGCCUAUUUGGAAGAACAAUUCGGCACAUAAAUUUAGCGGCCGUCAAAGGACAGUGAGCACUCUAUUGGUGUGCAUAAAAAAGUUUGUUCAACCAGCCAACGUCCUUGCUCUUCAUUUGAAUUUCACUUGUUUUUGAAAGUCAAGCAGCUCGAACAGCGCGCCCAACUAAAAAUUAAAAAUAUUACUCGGUAUUCAUUACUUAUGAGAGCCAUAAACUAUUCGGGUAAAUAAAGAGAAUUCAAUA